AAGUAAACAAGCUGCCUGAGGACUGGAUACUAUUGAAUUCAAUGGAGCAGAGUCUCUACUUUGGAUGCUGGCAUCAGAUUUGAGGGAAUCAAGAUUGGAAAAGUUGCGAAUACGUGUGCGUGAAUGAUAAGAAACCACACACACACAGACACCUGUGUUUACAGCCACAGGAAUUGAAUUGUGAGAAUAAAAUGCCUCAAACCAAACAUCAAGCUCCUUCUUCCAU